CCUGCCCAAGAGAUCGGGAUAACACCUGGAAACAGAUGCUAAUACCGGAUAACAACAGAUGAUGCCUAUCAACUGUUUAAAAGAUGGUUCUGCUAUCACUCUUGGAUGGACCUGCGGUGCAUUAGCUAGUUGGUAGGGUAACGGCCUACCAAGGCGAUGAUGCAUAGCCGAGUUGAGAGACUGAUCGGCCACAUUGGGACUGAUACACGGCCCAAACUCCUACGGGAGGCAGCAGUC
rnacentral:rRNA from 1 species